GGUCGGUCCGUCCCACUCUGGACUCAGGACUCUGUUGGUCAGGACUCUGUUGGUCGCUGCAGACGGUGGCCCCGAGAGCUAAGCCACCAUGGCCCUUUUCAGCUGUUUCUACGGCAUGUGCGAUGACUGGGUUCGCUAUUGGGGCAGGACCUGGCCCUGCGCCUCUCCCUCGUGGACGUGUACUCGCUGACCUUUUGCCCAGCCAGAUGGCGUCUGUCUUAUUCCCCCUGGACCGUUGGUGGAGAUUGUAGCUGCCUGCGCCUUUGAUGAAAUGGAGUCAAUGCUUGAAGCCAAUGUUAUUGAGCGCUGAUGUCAGCCCGCCUGCAGCCGCCGCCGUGCCGUU